UACGGAGGGGGCUAGCGUUGUUCGGAAUUACUGGGCGUAAAGCGUACGUAGGCGGCUUUGUAAGUUAGAGGUGAAAGCCCGGGGCUCAACUCCGGAAUUGCCUUUAAGACUGCAUCGCUAGAAUUGUGGAGAGGUAAGUGGAAUUCCGAGUGUAGAGGCGAAAUUCGUAGAUAUUCGGAAGAACACCAGUGGCGAAGGCGACUUACUGGACACAUAUUGACGCUGAGGUGCGAAAGCGUGGGGAGCAAACAGG
rnacentral:rRNA from 1 species